rnacentral:rRNA from 1 species
UUAAGAAUCUUGCGCAAUGGGAGCAAUCCUGACGCAGCGACGCCGCGUGAAUGAUGAAGGCCUUCGGGUUAUAAAGUUCGAUAAGCAGGGAAGAAUAAGUCCGGGGUAAUAUUCCGGAUGAUGACGGUACCUGCCUAAAGCCCCGGCUAACUACGUGCCAGCAGCCGCGGUAAUACGUAUGGGGCGAGCGUUGUUCGGAAUUAUUGGGCGUAAAGGGCGCCUAGGCGGGGGACUAAGUUAGUUGUGAAAGCUAUGGGCUCAACCCACAAAUUGCAUCUAAGACUGGUUCUCUUGAGUUCGGGAGAGGAGAGCGGAAUUCCAGGUGUAGCGGUGAAAUGCGUAGAUAUCUGGAAGAACACCAGUGGCGAAGGCGGCUCUCUGGCCUAGGACUGACGCUGAAGCGCGAAAGCGUGGGGAGCAAACA